rnacentral:snoRNA from 2 species
AAUCCGUGAUGAGGGCAUUUGGUUUGAUAACCCUUAAAGCGUUCCCAAGCUUCACAGAAGCUUUCAUUUUGCUUCUGAGUGAAUCCAGAUAUAUCAUUGUGGAGUCU